AUACUUACUUGGCAUGGGAGAUGCCAUGAUCAGAAAGGUAGUUUUCCCAGGGUGAGGCAUAUCCAUUGCACUCUGGAUGUGCUGAGCCCUGUGAUUUCCUCAACUGCAGAAAAUUCAACUGCAUAAUUUGUGGUAGUGGGGACUGCAUUUUCUCUCUCCCCU